AGCGAACGCUGGCGGCAGGCUUAACACAUGCAAGUCGAGCGGGCACUUUCGGGUGUCAGCGGCGGACGGGUGAGUAACGCGUGGGAACGUGCCCUCUGGUUCGGAAUAACUCAGGGAAACUUGAGCUAAUACCGGAUACGCCCUUUUGGGGAAAGGCUUGCUGCCGGAGGAUCGGCCCGCGUCUGAUUAGCUAGUUGGUGGGGUAACGGCUCACCAAGGCGACGAUCAGUAGCUGGUCUGAGAGGAUGAUCAGCCACACUGGGACUGAGACACGGCCCAGACUCCUACGGGAGGCAGCAGUGGGGAAUAUUGGACAAUGGGCGCAAGCCUGAUCCAGCCAUGCCGCGUGAGUGAUGAAGGCCUUAGGGUUGUAAAGCUCUUUUAUCCGGGACGAUAAUGACGAUACCGGAAGAAUAAGCCCCGGCUAACUUCGUG
rnacentral:rRNA from 1 species